CACGUAGUUAGCCGGGACUUCUUAGUCAGGUACCGUCUUUUUCUUCCCUGCUGAUAGAAGUUUACAUACCGAAAUACUUCUUCCUUCACGCGGCGUUGCUGCAUCAGGGUUUCCCCCAUUGUGCAAUAUUCCCCACUGCUGCCUCCCGUAGGAGUCUGGACCGUGUCUCAGUUCCAAUGUGGCCGUUCACCCUCUCAGGCCGGCUACUGAUCGCUGACUUGGUAGGCCUCUACCCCACCAACUAUCUAAUCAGACGCGGGCCCAUCCUGUACCGUCUCGGCUUUUCACACUGUAACAUGCGUUACUGUGCGCUUAUGGGGUAUUAGCAGCUGUUUCCGGCUGUUGUCCCCCUGUACAGGGCAGGUUGCCCACGCGUUACUCACCCGUCCGCCACUAAGUCGCUUACUUCUUCCUCCCGAAGGAUUUAGUUGUAAGCGCUUCGUUCAACUUGCAUGUGUUAGGCACGCCGCCAGCGUUCAUCCUGAGCCAGGAUCAAACUCU
rnacentral:rRNA from 1 species